CCUACGGGUGGCAGCAGUGGGGAAUAUUGCGCAAUGGACGCAAGUCUGACCCAGCAACGCCGCGUGAAGGAAGAAGGCUUUCGGGUUGUAAACUUCUUUUAAGGGGGAAGAGCAGGAGACGGUACCACUUGAAUAAGCCACGGCUAACUACGUGACAGCAGCCGCGGUAAUACGGAGGUGGCAAGCGUUGUCCGUAUGUACUGGGUGUAAAGGGCGUGCAGCCGGGAAGACAAGUCAGAUGUGAAAUCCCGCGGCUCAACCGCGGAACUGCAUUUGAAACUGUUUUUCUUGAGUAUCGGAGAGGUGAGCGGAAUUCCAAGUGUAGCGGUGAAAUGCGUAGAUAUGAGGAAGAACACCAGUGGCGAAGGCGGAUGACUGGACGACAACUGACGGUGAGGCGCGAAAGCGUGGGGAGCAAACAGGAUUAGAUACCCGUGUAGUC
rnacentral:rRNA from 1 species